rnacentral:rRNA from 1 species
UCUGGCGACGAUAGCGCGGUGGUCCCACCUGACCCCAUGCCGAACUCAGAAGUGAAACGCCGUAGCGCCGAUGGUAGUGUGGGGCUUCCCCAUGUGAGAG